UUUCACACUGCUGAAAUAGACAUACCCAAGACUGGGCAAUUUACAAAAGAUAGAGGCUUAAUUGGACUUACAGUUCCACAUGGCUGGGGAAGCCUCACAAUCAGGGUGGAAGGCAAGAAAGAGCAAGUUAUGUCUUACACAGAUGGCAGCAGGCAAAGAGAGAGCCUUUGUGCAGGUGAAUUGCU